GACGAACGCUGGCGGCGUGCUUAACACAUGCAAGUCGAACGGAAAGGCCCUGCUUUUGUGGGGUGCUCGAGUGGCGAACGGGUGAGUAACACGUGAGUAACCUGCCCUUGACUUUGGGAUAACUUCAGGAAACUGGGGCUAAUACCGGAUAGGAGCUCCUGCUGCAUGGUGGGGGUUGGAAAGUUUCGGCGGUUGGGGAUGGACUCGCGGCUUAUCAGCUUGUUGGUGGGGUAGUGGCUUACCAAGGCUUUGACGGGUAGCCGGCCUGAGAGGGUGACCGGCCACAUUGGGACUGAGAGAGGGACCAGACGGCAACGGGAGGCAGCAGUGGGGAACAUUACACAGUGGGCGGGAGCCUGAUGCAGAAACGCUGCGUGCGGGAUGCCGGCCUUCGGGUUGUAAACCGCUUUCGCCUGUGACGAAGCGUGAGUGACGGUAAUGGGUAAAGAAGCACCGGCUAACUACGUG
rnacentral:rRNA from 1 species